CACGGGGGGAGCAAGCGUUGUUCGGAAUCACUGGGCGUAAGGGGCGUGCAGGCGGUCAGGUAAGUGGGAUGUGAAAUGCCCCGGCUCACCCGGGGACCGGCAUCUCAUACUGCUUGGCUUGAGUACGGGAGAGGAUGUGGGAAUUCCUGGUGUAGCGGUGAAAUGCGUAGAUAUCAAGAGGAACACCGGUGGCGAAGGCGCACAUCUGGCCCGAUACUGACGCUGAGGCGCGAAAGCUAGGGGAGCAAACGGG
rnacentral:rRNA from 1 species